CAAGUCGAGCGGCAGCGCGGGGGCAACCCUGGCGGCGAGCGGCGAACGGGUGAGGAAUGCAUCGGAACGUACCCGAGAGUGGGGGAUAACGCCGCGAAAGCGGCGCUAAUACCGCAUAUUCUCUGUGGAGGAAAGUGGGGGACCGCAAGGCCUCACGCUCACGGAGCGGCCGAUGUCGGAUUAGCUAGUUGGUGGGGUAAAGGCUUACCAAGGCGACGAUCCGUAGCUGGUCUGAGAGGAUGAUCAGCCACACUGGGACUGAGACACGGCCCAGACUCCUACGGGAGGCAGCAGUGGGGAAUUUUGGACAAUGGGGGCAACCCUGAUCCAGCCAUGCCGCGUGCGGGAAGAAGGCCUUCGGGUUGUAAACCGCUUUUAGCCGGGAAGAAAAGGCAGAUCCUAAUAAGGUCUGUUCUUGACGGUACCGGCGGAAUAAGCACCGGCUAACUACGUGCCAGCAGCCGCGGUAAUACGUAGGGUGCGAGCGUUAAUCGGAAUUACUGGGCGUAAAGCGUGCGCAGGCGGUUCGUUAAGUUCGAUGUGAAAGCCCCGGGCUCAACCUGGGAACUGCAUUGGAAACUGGCGAGCUUGAAUGCGGCAGAGGGGGGUGGAAUUCCGCGUGUAGCAGUGAAAUGCGUAGAGAUGCGGAGGAACACCGAUGGCGAAGGCAGCCCCCUGGG
rnacentral:rRNA from 1 species